CUAGCAGAGAGAGAGAGAAAAAAACUGCUUGGCUAUUCGGUACCUGCAACACACAUACACACACACACAUAAAGCCCGAACGCAAUGUGACAAAGCAUCCGAUAAAUGAAGAGAGCGCAGUUUCCCGGAGUUUCGGGAUGGCUCCUUGUUUUGGUUACCGCCUCGUGUCCAGGGACCUUGUUCGGACUGAAUCCUCUACAUUUCUAUUGGUCAGUUAAGGACCACGAACCCGAGUAUUUGGAAAAUACAGUAUCAACUGCGCCAUUAUCUGUUGCACACUCCUGUCUCUCAGGAAUAGAACUGUAUCGCAUUCACUACUGCCACCGAUAAAUAUGAGGAAAGCCGAGGGGUACCGGUUUCAGCGAGGCAGUGCAGAGGCGAUCGAGUGAGCUGUCAGCAGUGCCUGUUUGCAGUACAGCAUCGCAAUGCCUUCCUCACGCAACAAGGAACUCACUAUGAUCAGGCCUCUGUUGCACAUGCUGCAUCUUCAAGACCAUAUCACACUAGUACACUGUUGGUGGAUUGCUGGUCUGAACAUCAUAUGUCCUCGUUUCCUACUCAUGGAGGAUAGUAGUGACUAAAUGGGAAGGCCGCCGUUAAGGAGUCAAUCAAUUUAACAGAACUGCAGGACCUCGGAAAUAUCCAUAGAAACACAGUACAUUUGCAAGAUGCAAAACAAAAUAGCAAAUGCGUGAGAUAGUUCAUAAAACAUAUUGAGGGCAAAGUGUGUUGGGAAUAGAUACAUGUUAUAUCCGAUGAAACGACUAAUCAUUUGCUUUGUGUUAGAUCUGCACAACACUGUGAAAGUUUGCAGUCAUUGACUUGGGUGUGAAUUAAAUGUGUAUUUCUAGCCGUCAACCCUCCGUGAACUGUAUAGGACAAUAGUUCAGUGUGAGUGAUGCUGUGUUCGUGAGUCUGUCUGAUGUUUGUUUGCGACCAAGUGUCUAAGGUCCUUGAGGAUGUCCAAUUGUAACAGUUUAUAUCUGUGUGUAAAGUGCAGUUGCAUUAGUAGAUUUCCGAUAUUCGUGUUUCCCUUUGUGAGGCUGUUUCUGCUUCUCUCAGAUUUAUGUUUAUAUACAAAGAAAAUUCCUUGGAUGAUUCUGCUGUUGUAUGUACGUGAAUCCAUCUGUGUAACGCUGUAGUCUGACUUGCUCAAAGCGACAUUAUCAGCUAUAUUUUCCAGAAUUUUAAGAAAAUUUCUGCAGCCUGAGUUUUAGACGAAAAUUAUUUUCGUUAAUCGUUAAUUAGUGAGUCCCAUUUCUGCUCUGCUCAUGCUGAUGUAUGUAUCUUGCCGAGAAACAUGAAAGGGGACGGCUUGGAUUGUAGUUAAUUACAUACUCUGUAAAAUGAUACAUGCGUGGUCAUGAAUUUUAAAGCGAUUUUCUGUUUUAAACUAAUACUUAUGCCAACAGAUUAACAUUGAAAUCUAUACAACAACUUGAAAUGACUCUAUAGUUAGCUCAGGCGGUUCCAGUAAUGAUAGUAAGUAGCUGAAUAUUUCAUAUUAACAAUAAGAUAGAUGGCUAGAUAGUUACAGCAGUUAUGAAGUUUUUUUUAAAAAAAACUCUUUUACAGUUUUAACAAUGGAGUGCAGACUGCAGCAUACCAUUUAGUUCAUAGAUAAUGGUCAUUUUUUCAGUAAUAGUGUAUGAGCUGAAAGGACUGUGAGCGACAACAACACUUGCCGCCGAAAAGCGCCGGCCUUUGGACGUAUCAGUGACUUGUCACCCCGGGCGAAAUUGAGCUCCCUCCUCCGAUCAGUUCCAUUCCAGCCCUUGGUCAACGUUAUAGUUCAGCCAGGCCUCUAUCAAUCUCUGACCUGUCAACUUAUAAGAGAAAAUAUUAUGUUUUACUCUCGGUGAAGUGUUAGGCAGAUGGUUCCGGAAGUAAGUAAUAGCUGUAAAUAAAAUUAUAGUUUCGGUUUUACAUCUAACAUAGUUGGAUAAACAAAAUAUUAAAAUGCGAUAUUCUGAAAAUGCAGCAGCUGAAUGCUUGCCCUUCCUCGCGAGUAACAUCACCCAACAGCAAUGUGGUACUUUACAAGUUGAAGUGGGCUGUCGCCUGGUAAAGUAGAAACAGAAACAAAAACAGGAGUUGCUGGAAAAGCUCGGCCGGUCUGGCAGCAUC